rnacentral:rRNA from 1 species
UACGUAGGGGCCGAGCGUUGUCCGGAGUUACUGGGCGUAAAGCGCGCGCAGGCGGCCACUUAAGCCCGGCGUGAAAGCCCCCGGCUCAACCGGGGAGGGUCGUCGGGGACUGGGUGGCUUGAGGACGGCAGGGGCUGGUGGAAUCCCCGGUGUAGUGGUGAAAUGCGUAGAGAUCGGGGGGAACACGCGUGGCGAAGGCGGCCAGCUGGGCCGGUCCUGACGCUGAGGCGCGAAAGCUAGGGGAGCAAACGGG